AUGGUGAUCACACGCCUUACCUUGUGCUGCCCGCUGUUUCUGCGUGCGGGAUAAAUGUACUUCUGGAAGCUCCCGAGACAAAAUGCAGAGACCUUUUCACAGCUGUCUUCAUUUCUUUUUAGAAGAUGCUAAUAUAUUUCUAAUAAUAGCGUCAGGAUAUAUAGCACCAGAUAGUUCUAAGUUUUGACAAAUAGUAUGUUCCUCUGUGCCCACAAAGUCCACCUUAAAAUGGUUGACCAUUGUCUUUAUCCUACAGUUAUGACUGUAGCUUUGGAGCUGUGAAUAGAUACAUUUAUCUCUGUAGGUAUCUCAGCGGUUUCUCUGUUAGUCCAGGAGUCGGGGAAUCUGUGCAUUCCUAAUGAAGGUUGUAGGACAGGGAGCUGUGAAGGAAAGCGG
rnacentral:lncRNA from 1 species